AACGAACGCUGGCGGCGCGCCUAAUACAUGCAAGUCGAGCGAGAAGACGUAGCAAGUACGUUUGUAAAGCGGCGAACGGGUGAGGAAUACAUGGGUAACCUACCCUCGAGUGGGGAAUAACUAGCCGAAAGGUUAGCUAAUACCGCGUACGCUCCUUGGACUUCGGUUCAGGGAGGAAAGCGAUACCGUGGGUAUCGCGCUCUUGGAUGGGCUCAUGUCCUAUCAGCUUGUUGGUGAGGUAACGGCUCACCAAGGCUUCGACGGGUAGCUGGUCUGAGAGGACGAUCAGCCACACUGGCACUGCGACACGGGCCAGACUCCUACGGGAGGCAGCAGUGAGGAAUAUUGCGCAA
rnacentral:rRNA from 1 species